GUCAGGAUGGCCGAGCGGUCUAAGGCGCUGCGUCCAGGUCGCAGUCCACUCUGUGGGUGUGGGUUCGAAUCCCGCUUCUGACA
rfam:Echinostoma caproni strain Egypt genome assembly, scaffold: ECPE_scaffold0008583